rnacentral:rRNA from 1 species
GACGAACGCUGGCGGCGUGCUUAACACAUGCAAGUCGAGCGGUAAGGCCCUUUCGGGGGUACGACGAGCGGCGAACGGGUGAGUAACACGUGGGUGACCUGCCCUCAGUUCUGGGAUAAGCCUGGGAAACCGGGUCUAAUACUGGAUAUGACCUCAUGACGCAUGUUGGUGGGGUGGAAAGCCUUGUGCGACUGAGGAUGGGCCCGCGGCCUAUCAGCUUGUUGGGUGGGGUGAGGCCUACCAAGGCGACGACGGGUAGCCGGCCUGGGAGGGCGACCGGCCACACUGGGACUGAGACACGGCCCAGACUCCUACGGGAGGCAGCAGUGGGGAAUCUUGCGCAAUGGGCGAAAGCCUGACGCAGCGACGCCGCGUGAGGGAUGACGGCCUGU